GGCUGUUCCUGGUUCCCCAGCAGCCGCUGCAGCCCCUGGGGCUCAGUCGAGGCCUAGCCGGCCUCGCCCCCUCUCCGCAGCCUGGAGCAACCUUGGGAUUUUCAGCCAGUGUGGAGGACACGGCUGAUUCACCUAGGGGCUUUUGUGGGGACAUUCCUGCCGUCGGAGGCCCCUUUUCCGAAUGGCCCGUAGGCGGGGGCUCUUGCAGUGGGGCCUCCGGGGGUUCUGCCCAGAGAAUGUGAUUCGGGCCGCUGGGUGGGGGGAAGGAGUUUCCCCCUUCACGGUCUCCGGAGACUCCGGAACGUCUUAGCUUCCCGGAUUCUCCCGCUGCACCUGCUCUGGGUGGCCAGGCAACCGGUCGCAUUCCGCCCUCCCCGGCGACCCCAAUCCCAAAGCCAUGUGUAUUGCGCGUGUGUCCGCUACAGGAAUGUGCGUUUCAUCCCUAAUGUCUUGUGUGCCUGGUGAGUGCGAGUGGUGGCAACGUGGCACGUGCAAGUGAGCAUUCGUCCACACAGGGGACCGAUCCGCGUGGGACAGCUCACACGUGUCUGAAACUACCCCACCAGGAUCCCCUGGCUCUCUCUCCGCCUCUGGGAGACCGAAUUCAGCUUGGAACGCAUGCUGUCUGCAGUUGAGGCAAAGGCAGUCUCUUGCCCGGUGUCAGCCUGAAGCAAAUUCGGUGUGGAGGGUCCUCAGUGCUCAUCGUCUUUUUUGAAAUGGAAUGGAGGCU
rnacentral:lncRNA from 1 species